ensembl:lncRNA
GUACGGGAACUCGCCGCGCUCCGCGCCCCCCAGCACGCUCAGCCCCAGCUCGCCCUGCGGUCCGCGCCUCACGGUGCACUCGCGCACCCGGCCAGUCCAGUGGCUCCUCUUCGGAGCCACUUUCGACAUGACGGCUUGCACUCAGCCACGAACAGACACGCAAAGUGAAGGCGAGCAGAGCUACCGAGGCAGGUGCCGCCGGCCGGCCGCUCACGGGAGCGGCAUGGUUCGGCGCCCGGCGGCAGCCCGCUCCGCACGCUCAGGCCAUCGCGGGACGAACUUUCCGGGCGUCCCCGCGAGCUUUGUUUGCAUUCCGGAGCCUCCGUCCGCGUCCCGGCGUCGGCCCGCCCGCCGGGCCAGAGUCCGCUCGCGCGCUCGGCUCGGUUUUCCCCUCUCCUUUCGUUCUCGACUCCAGCCGGCUUGCGGCUCGCGGCUCGCGGCUCGCGGCGGGCGGCUCCUGAGAGAAGCGGAGUCCGCGCGCUCAGCCGGAGCCCGGGGCCGGCGCGGGCGGGGGCGGAGCCGAGGCCGGCGCGCGGCCCCUUUAAGCCGAGGGAAAGGCUGGGCUUGUUUUGUUCCGCUUCAUUCUGCUCCGCGCCGAGAGCCCGCCGGACCCGGAGGCGGUGCGCAUGCGUCCACGGCCCUCCGCGCCCCGCCCCCCGGAGGGAGUCUUCCGCCGCGAGUCCCCGCGGGUCCUGAGGCCGACCUCGACCUCGGGGGAGCCUCGAGGAUCCCCGCUCCGCCUUGGUUUCUCUCCGUCCGCUGCGGUCCGCACAGGCUUCGCGGGAGGACGAGGCGCACACGCGUUUGGCGGCUUUUCAGACUCGGGCAGUCUGGCUUCCGCGUUGACAAUCCCCUUCAAACAGGGCGGGACGGGGCGUCCCUCGCUGCGCACUUGCUCACCUUCCGCAGCCCGCAGCCCGCAGGGCGCCCGAGCCCGCCUGGAGGCCCAGCGCCGGCCUCAGGUUCUGCGGGGGCCCGCAGCGCACCGCGCGCGCCCCAGCUUGGGGCGGCUGCCUCCCGGAGAGCCGCCGAAUUUGCCGUCGUCUGUCGGCAAAGACUGGAAGAAAGAUGGCAGAAAGGAGAGGGAAAGUCAUAACUGAAAACUGUGCUUUCGGGAGCGCAACUUCCGGGGCCCAGUGGAAGUUUCCCCCUGUGCUGCGUAUUGGCUUUUCCUUGGUUAUAUUGGGGCUUCCCUCCUUCCAGACACAUCACACCUAGCUUUCCUGAAGAAUACUGAGACAGAGCCAGUGAGGACCCCCAGGAUUGCCCACCAGCCUCCAGCGUGGCUGCAUAGGCACCUGAAACAACAGCCCCCCCACCCUCUUGGCUGUACAGCUACUUGGAUCCACACUACAGAGGCACAAGGGGACAUAAAGGCCAUUGUUCUGAGCUACAGAAGUGAACAACAGAGAGAGGGCCUCUCUCAGGCUCCUUGAUGAAAACUGAAG